UUCUCUACCAGCAUAAACUUAGCUAAACAAUUUGAAGAUUUGAAUUAAGACGAGAUAAAAUAUGAAUUUAAGUUUGAAAAUUUAAAAAUUUGAGUGGGAGUUUGUAAUCAACGUAUUAAUCUUCUCCUUCUGACUUCUAAACAUUUAAUCCGAAAUAGAAUAAAUGAAUCGCAUCGCUGUAAAUGGAAUAAACUAAACUAAAUGAACUAAUUAACAAAAUCAACACAUACCAAAUUAAGGGCCCCCUCCGCAACGCAUUUGGUACGACUAUCGUGCGGUUUUAGUCGAUAAGUCCGACAUUACCACGCGGUCCAUGAGGAUUUCCCCGCGUAAAAAAAAAGUUGAUUUUAUAGUUGUGUGUGCAACUAAAACAAGAACUUUAA